GCCGUGGCUCAGUGGCAGAGCACCUGCUUUGCAUGCAGAAGGUCCCAGGUUCAAUCCCCAGAAUCUCCA